CGCUGGCGGCACGCCUAAUACAUGCAAGUCGAACGAAGUAGCAAUACUUAGUGGCAGACGGGUGAGUAACAUGUGGGUAUCUUCCCUUUGGUGAGGAAUAACACGAGGAAACUUGUGCUAAUACUUCAUAAGUCUUUACGGAGAAAGCUUUAUGCGCCAAUGGAUGAGCCCGCACUUGAUUAGUUUGUUGGUAGGGUAAUGGCCUACCAAGACUGUGAUCAAUAGCUGAUUUGAGAGGAUGAUCAGCCACAUUGGGACUGAGACACGGCCCAAACUCCUACGGGAGGCAGCAGUAGGGAAUCUUGCACAAUGGAGGAAACUCUGAUGCAGCGAUGCCGCGUGAGUGAAGAAGGCCCUUGGGUUGUAAAGCUCUUUCGUCGGGGAAGAAAAUGACUGUACCCGAAUAAGAAGGUCCGGCUAACUUCGUGCCAGCAGCCGCGGUAAUACGAAGGGACCUAGCGUAGUUCGGAAUUACUGGGCUUAAAGAGUUCGUAGGUGGUUAAAAAAGUUGGUGGUGAAAGCCCAGAGCUUAACUCUGGAACUGCCAUCAAAACUUUUUAGCUAGAGUUUGAUAGAGGAAAGCAGAAUUUCUAGUGUAGAGGUGAAAUUCGUAGAUAUUAGAAAGAAUACCGAUUGCGAAGGCAGCUUUCUGGAUCAUUACUGACACUGAGGAACGAAAGCAUGGGUAGCGAAGAGGAUUAGAUACCCUCGUAGUCCAUGCCGUAAACGAUGUGUGUUAGAUGUUGGAAAUUUAUUUUCAGUAUCACAGCGAAAGCAAUAAACACACCGCCUGGGGAGUACGACCGCAA
rnacentral:rRNA from 1 species